rfam:Ovis aries breed Texel chromosome 5, whole genome shotgun sequence.
UCCCUGGUAGUCCCAUAGCUAAGACUCCCAGCUUCCAAUGCAGGGGAUCCAGGUUCAAUCCCUGGUCAGGGAA